UACAUCGUCCAUUAAAAUAUUAGAGUCACAACUAGAUGUUAGGGAGAAGGGGACUCUUCCAACCCAACCUCUACCAAACUCGAAGCAUCUUCCUCUUCUCGAUCUCUCUCACACCUCCCUUUCUCUAUCCCCUCCUCUCUCUUUCUUAUGGCCAAGAACAACGGUCUAGCCAAACGAACACCGUGAUCGAGUGAGGUGCUGUUGUGUAGGCAGGUUAAAACCCUCUUGUGAAAAGUUGAGGAAGAGGCAGAGCUUUUGAUACUCUCUUUCGAUUUGUGCCAUUUUCCUCAUUUUCAAGGACCUAGCUAGAGAAAAUCCACGCCCCUGCCCACCAAAGCCAUCAUUCCGUUUCCGGGAUGGGCCAUCAAACAGGCGGUAUGAAUGGAUGAUUAUGCUAGCGAGGCAAUGCACGAGGUGGGAGGACUGCUCGCUCUGUGACCAAGAUAUGGAGGCAUUGAUGGAUUUUGGGAAUGAUGCGGAUGAACGACCAAAGUACGCCAGAGUUCGUGCUCUUGAGGCAGAGGAUAAGUCGAGGAGGCUCGCAGAAGAGAAAGUACUGCAAACAUGAAUGGGAGAUGCUCAUGAUCCAUGAAGUGAGGGUGACAGAGGAGUUAGUUGCAUUUAGGCAGCAAGUUGAUGAACUCAAACUAAAAAGGUAUGAUCGGCACUAAAUUCAAUUGCAAUGUAUUUUUUCAAGAUGGAAUAUGUGGGAGGUUUAGAGUGCCACUCACGCCUCACUUGGCGAUGUGUGAGAUCCAGGCUAUCAUUAGGUGGACCCCUUCAUGUGUGUGUUGUGGCAUGUGCAGGAAGUAAUAGUCCAUUAGAUGGUUCAUAUAUGUGUGUGUGU